UGGUCCUACUCACAAGGGG
rnacentral:misc_RNA from 1 species